UUGAUCGAUGAUGAAAUUAAAUCAAUUUGAAGGCUAAAUAUGAAAUUGAUUUUAUUUUCUGAAACUUGGAAUGCGUUUUUCUCAAAACAAAGGUCUUGGCGCAUUCGUCGUAUUCAAAAAUCAAUACCGAUAUAUUGCCCGACAUUGCACACACGCUAACUUUUGGCUACCCCUUAAAGGCGUAAUAUUGACCCGUUAUUGAGAACCUCCACGAUCUGUCAAAUAACGGGUCAUUAUAUCGGAUCAAUAUUACCCCUUAUUUCGAAAAGCUCGAUUCCUUUCAAAAGGGGUAGUUUUAGAUGCGUUACAUCCAAAGUGAUUGAUUUGGCACGAUGAGAGAGCAGCACAGCAAAGUUCCGGACUCCGGACGAACCAGAAGAAAACCAGAAGGAUUCAACAUGAACGGCAGUGGACUAACAUUGGUGGAUUCAACUUAUAGCGAGGAAACGGAGG